UACAGAGGGGGCGAGCGUUGUUCGGAAUUACUGGGCGUAAAGGGCGCGUAGGCGGCCUUCUAAGUCGAACGUGAAAUCCCCGGGCUCAACCCGGGAACUGCGUCCGAUACUGGGAGGCUUGAAUCCGGGAGAGGGAUGUGGAAUUCCAGGUGUAGCGGUGAAAUGCGUAGAUAUCUGGAGGAAUACCGGUGGCGAAGGCGGCAUCCUGGACCGACAUUGACGCUGAUGAGCGAAAGCUAGGGGAGCAAACGGG
rnacentral:rRNA from 1 species